rnacentral:rRNA from 1 species
AACGAACGCUGGCGGCAGGCCUAACACAUGCAAGUCGAGCGCGCCUUCGGGUGAUCGGCGGACGGGUGAGUAACGCGUGGGAAUAUGCCCUUCUCUACGGAAUAGUCCUGGGAAACUGGGGGUAAUACCGUAUACGCCCUUUGGGGGAAAGAUUUAUCGGGGAAGGAUUAGCCCGCGUUGGAUUAGGUAGUUGGUGGGGUAAUGGCCUACCAAGCCGACGAUCCAUAGCUGGUUUGAGAGGAUGAUCAGCCACACUGGGACUGAGACACGGCCCAGACUCCUACGGGAGGCAGCAGUGGGGAAUCUUAGACAAUGGGGGCAACCCUGAUCUAGCCAUGCCGCGUGAGUGAUGAAGGCCUUAGGGUUGUAAAGCUCUUUCAGCUGGGAAGAUAAUGACGGUACCAGCAGAAGAAGCCCCGGCUAACUCCGUG